UACGGGGGGGGGCAAGCGUUGUUCGGAAUUACUGGGCGUAAAGGGUUCGUAGGUGGCCAACUAAGUCAGACGUGAAAUCCCUCAGCUUAACUGGGGAACUGCGUCUGAUACUGGUCUGGUCGUUGAGUGCAGGAGAGGAACGCGGAAUUCCAGGUGUAGCGGUGAAAUGCGUAGAUAUCUGGAGGAACACCGGGUGGCGAAGGCGGCGUUCUGGACUGCAACUGACACUGAGGAACGAAAGCCAGGGGAGCAAACGGG
rnacentral:rRNA from 1 species